GACGAACGCUGGCGGCGUACUUAACACAUGCAAGUCGGACGAGAAAGGAGACUUCGGUCUCUGAGUACAGUGGCGCACGGGUGCGUAACACGUAAGUAAUCUACCCCGAACUCUGGGAUAACCCUCCGAAAGGAGGGCUAAUACUGGAUAGGGUCCCCGAGGUGUAGGCUGCGGGGGGAAAACGGGCCUCUGUUUCAUGCUCGUGGUUUGGGAUGAGCUUGCGGCCCAUUAGCUAGUUGGUAAGGUAAUGGCUUACCAAGGCAACGAUGGGUAGCUGGUCUGAGAGGAUGAGCAGCCACACUGGGACUGAGACACGGCCCAGACUCCUACGGGAGGCAGCAGUAGGGAAUCUUCCGCAAUGGACGCAAGUCUGACGGAGCAACGCCGCGUGAGUGAGGAAGGGUUUCGGCUCGUAAAACUCUGUUGUUAAGGAAGAACGCCGGUGAUUUAACUGAUCACCGGGUGACGGUACUUAACCAGAAAGCCACAGCUAACUACGUGCCAGCCGCCGCAGUAAGAC
rnacentral:rRNA from 1 species